rnacentral:rRNA from 1 species
CCUACGGGGGGCAGCAGUGAGGAAUAUUGGUCAAUGGGCGUAAGCCUGAACCAGCCAAGCCGCGUGAGGGAUGAAGGUUCUAUGGAUUGUAAACCUCUUUUAUAAGGGAAUAAAGUGCGGGACGUGUCCCGUUUUGUAUGUACCUUAUGAAUAAGGAUCGGCUAACCCCGUGCCGGCAGCCGUGGUAAUACGGAGGAUCCGUGCGUUAUCCGGAUUCAUUGGGUUUAAGGGGUGCGUAGGCGGCCUUGUAAGUCGGCGGUGAACGUCUGUGGCUCACCCAGAGAAUGGCCGUUGAAACUGGGAGGCUUGAGUAUGUUUGAGGCAGGCGGAAUGCGUGGUGUAGCAGUGAAAUGCUUAGAUAUCACGCAGAACCCCGAUUGCGAAGGCAGCCUGCCAAGCCAUGACUGACGCUGAUGCACGAAAGCGUGGGGAUCAAACAGGAUUAGAUACCCCAGUAGUC